UUCUUAAAGGUGUGUUUUGCACAGGAAUAUUUGAAGUUCAAGGAAUAUAAUCUAAUUAAUUAAGAAA
rnacentral:tRNA from 1 species